GAUGAACGCUGGCGGCGUGCUUAACACAUGCAAGUCGAACGGAAAGGCUCCUGCUUGCAGGGGUACUCGAGUGGCGAACGGGUGAGUAACACGUGGGUGAUCUGCCCUGCACUUCGGGAUAAGCCUGGGAAACUGGGUCUAAUACCGGAUAGGACGAUGGUUUGGAUGCCAUUGUGGAAAGUUUUUUCGGUGUGGGAUGAGCUCGCGGCCUAUCAGCUUGUUGGUGGGGUAAUGGCCUACCAAGGCGUCGACGGGUAGGCGGCCUGAGAGGGUGUACGGCCACAUUGGGACUGAGAUACGGCCCAGACUCCUACGGGAGGCAGCAGUGGGGAAUAUUGCACAAUGGGCGCAAGCCUGAUGCAGCGACGCCGCGUGGGGGAUGACGGCCUUCGGGUUGUAAACUCCUUUCGCUAGGGACGAAGCGCAAGUGACGGUACCUGGAGAAGAAGCACCGGCUAACUACGUG
rnacentral:rRNA from 1 species